UACGAAGGGGGCUAGCGUUGUUCGGAUUUACUGGGCGUAAAGCGCACGUAGGCGGAUCUUUAAGUCAGAGGUGAAAUCCCAAGGCUCAACCUUGGAACUGCCUUUGAUACUGGGGAUCUUGAGUCCGGGAGAGGUGAGUGGAACUGCGAGUGUAGAGGUGAAAUUCGUAGAUAUUUCGCAAGAACACCGGUGGCGAAGGCGGCUCUCUGGACCGAGACUGACGCUGAGGCGCGAAAGCGUGGGGAGCAAACAGGG
rnacentral:rRNA from 1 species